AGUAUGGUAAUGUUUCGUGAUCGAUUUUAGACAAAUUCACCGUUUCAUCUCAUUUUUGCAAUGAGACAGCAGCAAUACCAAGGGGUAAUAAAGGAUACGACAAACUCUUCAAGGUACGUAUGUUUCUAGAUGACCUUUGUCCUAAGUUGAGAAAUCUUCAUAAACCAAAAAGAGACAUUUGCAUUGAUGAGAGUAUGAGACCUUUUAAAGGAAGAAUCUCUUUCUGACAAUUUAUUCUAAGCAAACGUACAAGAUUUGGAAUAAAAGUUUGGGUGAUGGCAGAGCCAUCUACCGGGUACAUAUCAGAGAUCUUGAUUUACACUGGAAAAGAUAUUGAUGGACUAGAAAAGAUAUCAUCAGGAACUGUUGUCUGUCAACUAACCCAACAUGUUUUAAAACAAGGAUACCAUCUGUGUUUUUUGUUUAUUUUGCAAUGUCCAUUUAUGCCUUGAUUCAGUCUCUUCAGUCUAAUUUUUGGAAUAUGUGGCAUUUAUAGUUUUAUUUUAAAAAUUAUGUAUCUAUUCGGUGUUCCGAGAUGACGUCACUCAAAAUAAAAUACUUUUGUCUCCCAUGUUGGUUCACAAACAACUUGAGUUUGAUUUAUCAUAUACGGUUUUCUUCGUUAGCUAUAUUUGAGUUUAUUGUUUAUCAAUUUUUAAAAAAAUGGUAUUUUGUAUUUUCAAUUGCAGCAAUCGUUCUGAAAACUGCAAGAAAUCGUUUUAUCGAAUUCCAAAGAUUAUAACUCACCAUGAUAAAGAUACUGAACUUUUGUCAACAGAAAGAAGAGCAAAUUGGUUUGCUGUUAUAAAACGCAAGGAUGUUAAUUGCAAUGCCAGUCACUACAGAGUUUGUUAUGAUCAUUUUUUUUCGGGUAAACCUUCAAAACUAUUUGAAAAGACACACCCUGAUUGGAACCCAACACUCAAAAUGGGCUUUAAAUGCAAAAGUUUAAACAGCGUAAUAUUCAUUCGAAUAAAAAAGUGACAACAUGAUUCUGGAGUUAUGAAAACUGAUAAAAUAAUAACUAAUGAAUGCUGUACUGAUAUGUCUAUUGAAAGUGGCAUCACUAUUACCGGAAAUAAUGAAGCUAAUGAUGAAAUUGAUUUUAAUGUUGAGCUAAAUAAUAUAAAUGGACCAACACAAAUAGACAUCUCAGCAAAAAUAAUUAAAUCCCUUGAUAUAAAAUAAAAUUGGAACUAUGGAAUGGUCUACUACCAAUAGCGAAGUGGCAUUUUAUACUGGUCUAACAAAUAUUAAAAUGCUCAUGACUUAGUAUGACUUCACAUGUAGUGCACGGUGGUUUAGUAAUGGACUUUUAACACGCGCAUGCGUCAAAUUUUGUUCAAAUAUUUGUAAACAUAAGCGAUCGCGGUUAAAAAGGGAUUUCUCACUAAAGUUGUAUACACUUCAAACUUUAAUUAUAUGUGGAUAAUGCUAAAUUAUCUCUAAGAAAUUAUGUCAAAACAAUAUUUUAGGGUUAGAUAAUAUGUGAGUUUCAAGUGCUUCUGUUAUGAUACAUGUUUUAUUUUCAAGAUCCUGAAUACUUAUCUGAAGUUGUUUUAUUUGACGCUGCUUCU
rnacentral:lncRNA from 1 species